GUUUGCAGCCCCAGGACAGCUGUGCUGGUUCUUUCAUCCUGCCCUCCUCACAGAGCAGUCCUGGGGUGCAGACAGGAGAAUGUGGAGCUCCUGGAGUCUUGUUCAGGCUCAGGUGAACCAGCCAUGAGUGUCCCCAAACCAGCACCAAGCUGCCACUCUGGUCAUCCCAGGUCCCCAAGCAGAAACGUUCUCCCUUUGCAAGUGGAAAGAGGAUGUCUAAAGAAAUCUCUGCAGAGCUCUGACCUGCGCUCCCAGUGGAGCUGGGGUUAGCAGCACUCCUGUCUCCAGCUGUGAGGAGUGCAAAUGGGCUCUGCCAAGCCUCCCAGAUCUCUGCCAAUUUUGUCUCACAGGUGAUUUACAUUUAAGCCCAGAUGCAAACUGAGAUUUCACGGCUGGUGUUCUUAGUGUAGACUAAACCAAAAUCUUGGAUCCAAAGCUUGUCAGUGUUCAAAGUAAAUUAUAUCAUAGUUUAUUCUCCUUUCUGGCAGAGGUGGAGUGAAAUUCUCAGGCAGACAUCUGUGUACAGUGAAGAAAGCUCCAUGGAAAUGCUGCUGUUCACUGGACUGUAUAUUUAUUUAUUCAAGUCCUGGAAAUCUAGAUGAAAGACAGGAAAGACAGAGGGAUUGUCCUAAUGAAACUGGCAACAAUAAUUGUAAUGAAACCAAAACUGUUUAGGUUUGAAACAGAAUCAUUUAGGUUUGUCCAAAGCUUGGCGUUGUUGGUUCUGUUCCUUUCUGACACUGCAGAUGUGUUUCUGCUAAACCAUUACGUGUCUAGCAUUGAUUCCAUUAAAAACACACUAAGACUGUGGGGGAAGAGUUUUGUCACAGCAGUGAAUCCCUGAGAAGAGCUGUGUGUGACAUAUCAGGACAAAAUGGUUAUUUCAGUGUUUAAGCAGUGUCAGCACAAGGCACACAGCCCCCUUGGAAAUGGGAAAAAUUGGGGAUUGCUGCAAGGCUCCUUCAUCACCCUUCUUUACCCACUUGGUGCUGCUGAGGAAAGGGUUGUGCUGCAGGGAGGAUUUUGCUGGAGCUGGGAAUGGAGCUGCUCCCUCGCCUGGGCAAGGAAUAGCUGAUGGCCAUGGCAUGAAAGGAACACCAUAAUUAUCUCCCACAGCCUGUAUGGGAGUGCUGGUAUGGAAUAUGUCCCUAAACCAGAAAUGUGCCAUCUCUAGUGUUAGGAGAAGUGCUGUUUUUGUUAUGCUUCUCUUCCUCAGAACACAGGAGAAAUCAUAAGAGCUGCCCAGACAAAGGCAGAAAAGGGGAUAUUUUGAGUGAAAAACCUUUGGCUUCAGAUUUUAUUUCCUCCACUGCUGCUGAGGAUACACAAUAAAUCUUCCCUGAUUAUUUUCACUUGAGGCAAUGGUGCACCAGAGUGAUGUGUUCAAGCUUACCCUGGUGCAACAAAUAUCCUCAAUUUACUUUUUUAUAAGCCUGCUAAUUUUCACAGAUUUCUAGAAAGAACUGUUUAGGAACUGAGGAACAGCUGGAUGAUAGAAAGGCAUAUAAACCUUCAAAAUAUCUCCAGUGAAGAAGCAGAGAGUCAGACCAAUGCAUUUCUAUCAGAGAAGUGAGACCCAUCAGAGCUGAUCCUUCAUCAGCUGCCACUGGUGCAGCACUGCUUGUCCUGGGCCACAUCCAAAAGUUGUGUAGGUGACCGGGGUGGCACUUUGCGUCCUCUAGUCCAGAUUGGAGAUUUUUGCUCUGAGCUCUUUGAGCAGAAAGGAGAUGAAAUAUGGUUUCUUUUUGCUCAGAGGGGCCCAAAGGUCUUGGAGGAAAAUCAAUUUGCUUGACAGACUUGGCAAGGAGAGCUCUCAGCUGGUGGCUGGCCUCUCUCCAGGCUCUCCCCCAUCCAGGGACAGGCAGGAUAAUUGAGCAGAUCUUGUUGCAGCAGAGCGGGAUAACGUAUUCAUGGAUGUCCAAGUGACUGAAGAGCUCAGUGCGUAAGCACUCGGGAGAACAAAUCUGUUUGGAGCUGGCUCUUCCUGCCUCUGGAGACAAGGAAUGUGUUUGACCCUGUCCUGUGGCAGGCACCACUUCAAAGUCACUUUGAAAGGGGGCAAUGGAAAGCACUGGGAUGGUUCUCAAAUGUCCAAACACUGAUUUCUCUCAAAAGUGCCCAAGAUUUCCCUUCAGUCUCUGGAUAUACCAUGAAUGAUUGGUUUUAUCAACAGCUAGCUGAUUUUAACAUUUUUCCUCCGUUUUUUUCCUUAUUGCUUUAACUUUUUAACCUUCUUAUCACCUCUAGCUGUGUGUGUUUUGGGCGCUUUUAAAUGAAAUUUCAACAUUGCUCUUUCUCAAGAGAAAGCACUGCUGUUACUUUAGCAGCCUUGCAGACGUACUGCUAUCACUGGUGUAACACAGCAAUGGAAAAAUAUGACUCUCCUUGAACCCUUCUCUGUUUGUUUUUACUGUCACUCUGUGUCUUGGGAUUUAAGGAUCUGAGAAAACCUUCCCUGUGUGCAGUCCCUGGGAGGAGCCAGUGUGUGCUAGCCCAGGUUACCCUGGUCUGAUGGACAGAAGAGUUUUUCAAUUCUUUCCAAUCCCAGUUAGUGGCUGUGAUAGGGAAACUGAAGGAGAGGGGAAAGGGGCUUUUCUCCCUCUCCAAGUGCCCCAUGUCAGCCCUGCCUUCAGCUCUUUGAGCACCUCGUGUUUUCAUAGGAAAGUGUUGUAAAAAGCAAAUUUGUUGUAGGAAUGUGCCUGGUGGUGUUGGCAAUGAUUCCUGUGGUUUCUGUUGCAUUUGUAGGAUGGAGGCUGCUUUAAAUUCAUUACCCUUUCAUUAAGUUUGUUCUGUGGGGCUUUCAUUCACUGCUGUCUGUGGGACCCAAAUAAAUGAGAAUCAAAGAAAAACCCCUUCAAAAGAAGGGUGACCAUGAGCAUUACACAUUUCCUUGUUUAGCAGAGAAAUGAUAAAAUCAUUCUGAGUAUAUGGGAUUGUAAUUACACAAUGAAAAUAUUAAGUCCUAAAUGUCCAGCCUCAUUUCUAACCUGCAUUUAGAGGAAUCUUGCCGUUGUCCUGCUUGGGAGAGCCAAACACCAGAAAAUUCCUGCUGUGAGGGCUCCCUGCCGUGUGGCUCAGCUGCCUCUGGGCUGCACAGGGCAGGUGGGACAGCUCUUGGAGGGGUAGAGCAGAGCAGGCUCUGGCACUGCACAUUUAAGGGCUGUUGUUGGGUUCUUCAGAUCACUUUAGACAAAGUCAGGAGUGAUGUAGCAGAGCUGAUUCUGCCCUGAGGAAGAGAAAGGAGUAACUGACCUGGGAAGAUAAUUUCCCACUCUUUUCUGUGAUCCUGUUCCUGUUUCAAUCUCUGGGACCCAAAACUGUGCAACAUUUUGCAUGACAGAGUCAGCCUGAGAUAAGGUUUCUGAAUGGAAAACAAGUUCAUCCAAGAGUGUGGGAGAUGAGUUUGCAGAAGAUGCUGAAGUAUUACUUGACAUUAUUAACUUGUGUUUUUAAUCAUAAGAUAUAUAUCUGAGAAACUUGAUGGCAUCCUUCUCUUCCCUGGUAAAAAAUGGCACAAGAACAUGUAAGAAAAAUAACUUCAGCCCCUUAUGCCCCAUCUCUGUCACAGGAGCAAUGGGGUAACAGAUUAACAACUCCAUAUUUCCUUUAGAGCCUCCCUUCUCUUGCCACGGGCAGCCACGUGUCCCCUGUCCCUGUAUUACACGGGAAGGACAGCCCUUAGCUGCCACCUCUCCAGUUCUACCAGAGCUGGGCCAAUUAAAGAGACUGUUCUGUAUUUAUUAUGGAAGAGUAACUUACACCCAGUGACAUUUCUGCUGGCUGCUGUUAAAAUCCUCUCCACUCUAAAGUCAGCAGCUUCAUCUCGGAGUGACAAACAGAACUGCUGUUGAAGAAAAUGUUGUCUCCUGAAGUGUUGAAUGUAAAAUUGUUUAAUGGUAAAUAAUACAGCCUGCAAAGUUAUGCUGGGAAAAUGGACUAAAAGGAGAAAUCACAUUUAAUGUCUUUGGGUUUUUGCUCUUUGCAGUUACAGGAAUUGAUCAUGCACAGUUAGUGAGAAGGGUAAGAAAACUCAAGGGAGACAAACACCAACACAUCUCAGGAACAAAAACCACAAAGGCUUCAGAAAAAUGUUCUUUCCUUUCCUUUCUAGUUGUUCUGCUUAUUAUUUGUUGUUGUUUUGGGGCUCAUUUUUUUUAAAGAAACAAUGCAUUUCUUUUAUCUUCCCCUCUUUCUUCCUUUUCAUCUUCUUUCUUAAAUGUCUCAUUAGUUUCUGCUGUGCAGUUGUGCAAGAUGAAAUGUUGUCAGCCUGCGCUGAUGAAUACCUCUCUGCAAGCCUUACAUAAUCCAUCCCAGCCCCAAAUCAGGUUAGUGCAGAAAUAGAGCUUUACACCUUUGAACUGCCAAUUCUGCAGCAGAAAGCAGCCGCUGGCAUCGAGGGCCAGGCCAGGCUGUGCCAGCAGUCAGGAAAAUAUUGCACUAAGUUUGGGACACAGAUGUGAGGAGCUGCAGCCACUUAGCCCAUGUCCUUUGGAAGUCCUCUACCAGUUUAUUAAGGGAGCAAGGAACCAAUUGCAAUUCCUCAUUAAAAAUCACUUCUGCUUAAUUCCUGCAACUCCAGUUGUGGACACUGAACCUCAACCCUAAUGCCUUGGUAAGCACUGCUCUGCAUUUUCCUUGUGCUGAGGCUUCAGCAGUUAUGAACUAGGAAGAAAUUGUCUAAAUAAUCUGCAACACUCAAACAUCUGUUGCUUUCAGGCCACAUUGCAAUGUAAGAACCUUCCUAAAGUAACUGGAAAAGGGACAAGCCCUAAAAAGGGAGAUGAUUUUGUCAUUUUUAGUCAUCAACUUUCUCCAGCCCCUCAGUGAGAAGUGCCCAGCGUUCUCCUGGUGCUGCCACGGUGGAUCCUGUCAGCCUGCAGGAAAUAAAGACUGUAAAGUGAUUUACACUGAAAGCAACAGGCCUUUCCCAUCCUGGUAUAUGUUAGCAUUCAGCAUCCAGGAUUUGUGGCUGCCGGCACAGAAACUCCCAGGAGUGACACUGAAAUCAGCCCCAAUUAUUUUGCAUGUUCUUGUGUAACAAUAGCUGUGCUGAGCUGGAUUCUCAGGAACAGUCUGGCACCUCCCUCCACACCUCCUGCUCCCAGAUCCGCAGUACAGGACUCCACUGGAGGAGUUUCAGAAUCACAGCCAGAGAUCAGCUUCUCACAGAUCCCCACCCACAGGCUGGGUUUUCAUCCAAAGGAAUUUUACUACCUUUGAUUUUGCAUAGGGGCCAAAUCCAGAAAUAACAACAUGCCAAAGUUGGGGAGAUUUGGGACAGGGAAUUCUGUUCAGGUCAGCUAUGAGGGAAACUCUUCAAAGUGUUGCUCAAGUGUGGUGGGCAGAGAGAAAUGAGACCCUUCCUGCUCCCAUUUCCAUCCAUUCAGUGGUUCCUACCUGCCACGUGCUCGUUGCUGUUCCCAACGCCAGGAAUUUGGUGAGCUUGGGGGUUAGACAGAGCAGUGGGGCUGAAUUCAGCACUGCAGAAAACUGCUCAGCUUCUGCAUGGGAGACAGAAAUGUGCAGUUAAAAACCACCACAUCCACCAUCCACGUUUGUGUGGUGGUGUUUUCAGACCUGCCUUCAUCCCCAGCCUUGAAGUGGAAAAAGCAUUUGGAAACAGCUGCAGCAAAGCAAAUGCUUGUAAGGCCUUGCAAGUAUUCUUAGUAUUUAUAAUAAAUAAAGGUAUGAGAAAUCACCACAGGUACAUACAUCUCUCCAUUUCUAGUUUGUCUGAAAUCUAUUAAAUCCCAAUUUGGCUGAAA